GGUGCCGUGGUCUAGUGAGUAACACCGAGUUUGCCUCUUAAUAUAAACAUAUAUCUAACCUACCUAAAGGUGGUAUGACGUCACGUUGUGGCCGUGCCAGCCCCGGUUCGAUUCCGGGCGGCGCCA
rnacentral:tRNA from 1 species